AACGGUCUAUACCUGCGGUACCUGCGGAAGGAUCAUUACGAGAACUUGCUCCAAAAGAGCAACUCUCCCAACCCUUUGCUUACGUUAUAUUGUUGCUUUGGCAGGCCACAAAGUUUGCCUUGCACUGGCUUAUUUGCGAGUGAGUGCCUGCCAGAGAAAAUAUUAACGCUGAUUAUUUACUGUUGUCUGAGUCAAAAUAAAUUACUUAAAACUUUCAACAACGGAUCUCUAGAUCGGAAG
rnacentral:misc_RNA from 1 species